UUUUCGCAAUGCCCGAAAGGGUGACGAAGCGACGCCGCGUGGGUGAAGAAGGCCUUCGGGUUGUAAAACCCUGUCAGGAGUUAUGAAAUGUAAGUGCGCUAAUAUCGUGCUUAUUUGACAAAGGCUCCAAAGGAAGCCACGGCUAACUCUGUGCCAGCAGCCGCGGUAAUACAGAGGUGGCGAGCGUUGUUCGGAAUUAUUGGGCGUAAAGAGCACGUAGGUGGGUUUGCAAGUCAGAUGUGAAAGCCUUCUGUUCAACGGAAGAAUUGCAUCUGAAACUGCUGAUCUUGAGUAUAGGAGGGGAGAAUGGAACUUCUGGUGGAGCGGUGAAAUGCGUAGAUAUCAGAAGGAACGCCGGCGGCGAAAGCGAUUCUCUGGCCUAUUACUGACACUCAGUGUGCGAAAGCUAGGGGAGCAAACGGGAUUAGAUACCCCGGUAGUCCUAGCCGUAAACGAUGGGCACUAAGUAGAGGGGUUUUAAUC
rnacentral:rRNA from 1 species